rnacentral:rRNA from 1 species
GGAGUUAGCCGGUGCUUCUUCUGUGAGUGAUGUCCUUCCUGCCGGCUAUUAACCCGCAGGCCUUCUUCCUCACUGAAAGUGCUUUACAACCCGAAGGCCUUCUUCACACACGCGGCAUGGCUGGAUCAGGGUUGCCCCCAUUGUCCAAUAUUCCCCACUGCUGCCUCCCGUAGGAGUCUGGGCCGUGUCUCAGUCCCAGUGUGGCUGAUCAUCCUCUCAGACCAGCUACGGAUCGUCGCCUUGGUGAGCCGUUACCUCACCAACCAGCUAAUCCGACAUAGGCUCAUCCGAUAGCGCGAGGCCCGAAGGUCCCCCGCUUUCCCCCGUAGGUCGUAUGCGGUAUUAGCCUGGGUUUCCCCAGGUUAUCCCCCACUACCGGGCAGAUUCCUAUGCAUUACUCACCCGUCCGCCGCUCGCCACCAGGGAGCAAGCUCCCCGUGCUGCCGCUCGACUUGCAUGUGUUAGGCCUGCCGCCAGCGUUCAAUCUGAGCCAGGAUCAAACUCUGA